ACUGAGCUAAGAUGGUGUUCCGUGGUUCCUGGUGUCUCCUGUCUGUCUGUCUUCUGUCCUGGGAGCUGGGGGUUUUGGUCCACCAGUCAGAACAGCGGCCAACAGAGUCCUCUCGUACAGAUGAAAUGAUGGUUGAUAUGGAAAUACCUGGAGUUUCUGUCUUACUUCAGGAUAUUUGGAAGUACCUGAUGGAGGCUGAGGAACUGACUUUUUGGUGAUCUCGAGUCCAGUGAUUGGUCCCAAACCAAGGAGUGCAAGCAUCGUGAACACAGCAGUGAACACAGCUAUGCUCUGCUCUCCGUGGUGGACUCUUGAGACACAACCUAACUGCGAAAAGCCAACCCUGUCUGCAAAGAAGGACUAGUCACUUGCUUAUGCACACACACCCCUUCCUCCUCCUCCUAGCUUGGUAAAAGUUUCCUAGUCUGUAAGAGUGGCAUGCUUGCUUAGUGUGAGCUCUUCCCAGCUUUUCUGAAAUAAACC